rnacentral:rRNA from 1 species
GACGAACGCUGGCGGCGUGCUUAACACAUGCAAGUCGAGCGGUAAGGCCUCUUCGGGGGUACACGAGCGGCGAACGGGUGAGUAACACGUGGGUGACCUGCCCUCAGCUCUGGGAUAAGCCUGGGAAACUGGGUCUAAUACCGGAUAUGACCUUUCCUCGCAUGGGGUUUGGUGGAAAGUUUUUUCGGCUGGGGAUGGGCCCGCGGCCUAUCAGCUUGUUGGUGGGGUGAUGGCCUACCAAGGCGACGACGGGUAGCCGGCCUGAGAGGGCGACCGGCCACACUGGGACGGAGACACGGCCCAGACUCCUACGGGAGGCAGCAGUGGGGAAUAGUGCGCAAUGGGCGGAAGAAUGACGAAGCGACGCCGCGUGGGGGAUGACGGGAGGAGGGUUGUAAACCUCUUUCGAACCCGACGAAGUUGGAAGGUAGGGGUAGAAGAAGCACCGGCCAACUACGUG